CCUACGGGGGGCUGCAGUGGGGAAUAUUGGACAAUGGGGGGGACCCUGAUCCAGCCAUGCCGCGUGUGUGAAGAAGGCCCUCGGGUUGUAAAGCACUUUCAGUGAGGAAGAACGCCUGGUGGUUAAUACCCAUCAGGAAAGACAUCACUCACAGAAGAAGCACCGGCUAACUCCGUGCCAGCAGCCGCGGUAAUACGGAGGGUGCGAGCGUUAAUCGGAAUUACUGGGCGUAAAGCGCGCGUAGGUGGCUUGAUAAGCCGGUUGUGAAAGCCCCGGGCUCAACCUGGGAACGGCAUCCGGAACUGUCAAGCUAGAGUGCAGGAGAGGAAGGUAGAAUUCCCGGUGUAGCGGUGAAAUGCGUAGAGAUCGGGAGGAAUACCAGUGGCGAAGGCGGCCUUCUGGACUGACACUGACACUGAGGUGCGAAAGCGUGGGUAGCAAACAGGAUUAGAUACCCUUGUAGUC
rnacentral:rRNA from 1 species